rnacentral:rRNA from 1 species
GAAUGACUAAAUGUAAAUGUCUGCGCCCAAUCUCGUCCACUCUCUGAAGCUAAGCAGGGUUGGGCCUGGUUAGUACUUGGAAGGGAGACUGCCUGGGUAUACCAGAUGCUGUAAUCU